UACGAAGGGGGCUAGCGUUGCUCGGAAUCACUGGGCGUAAAGGGUGCGUAGGCGGACAGUUAAGUCAGAGGUGAAAGCCCAGGGCUCAACCCUGGAAUUGCCUUUGAUACUGAUUGUCUUGAGUAUGGGAGAGGUAUGCGGAACUCCGAGUGUAGAGGUGAAAUUCGUAGAUAUUCGGAAGAACACCAGUGGCGAAGGCGGCUCACUGGCCCGGUACUGACGCUGAGGUGCGAAAGCGUGGGGAGCAAACAGG
rnacentral:rRNA from 1 species